ACUCCUACGGGAGGCAGCAGUGGGGAAUCUUAGACAAUGGGCGCAAGCCUGAUCUAGCCAUGCCGCGUGAGUGAUGAAGGUCUUAGGAUCGUAAAGCUCUUUCGCUGGGGAAGAUAAUGACGGUACCCAGUAAAGAAACCCCGGCUAACUCCGUGCCAGCAGCCGCGGUAAUACGGAGGGGGUUAGCGUUGUUCGGAAUUACUGGGCGUAAAGCGCACGUAGGCGGAUCGGAAAGUUGGGGUGAAAUCCCGGGGCUCAACCUCGGAACUGCCUUCAAAACUAUCGGUCUAGAGUUCGAGAGAGGUGAGUGGAAUUGCGAGUGUAGAGGUGAAAUUCGUAGAUAUUCGCAGGAACACCAGUGGCGAAGGCGGCUCACUGGCUCGAUACUGACGCUGAGGUGCGAAAGUGUGGGGAGCAAACAGGAUUAGAUACCCUGGUAGCGAG
rnacentral:rRNA from 1 species